rnacentral:rRNA from 1 species
GGAAUAUUGGACAAUGGGCGCAAGCCUGAUCCAGCCAUGCCGCGUGCAGGAAGACGGCCCUAUGGAUUGUAAACUGCUUUUGUACAGGAAGAAACAGUUCUACGUGUAGAACCUUGACGGUACUGUAAGAAUAAGGACCGGCUAACUCCGUGCCAGCAGCCGCAGUAAUACGGAGGGUCCAAGCGUUAUCCGGAAUCAUUGGGUUUAAAGGGUCCGUAGGCGGCCUUAUAAGUCAGUGGUGAAAUCUCCUAGCUCAACUAGGAAACUGCCAUUGAUACUGUAGGGCUUGAAUUUUUGUGAAGUAACUAGAAUAUGUAGUGUAGCGGUGAAAUGCUUAGAUAUUACAUGGAAUACCAAUUGCGAAGGCAGGUUACUAACAAACGAUUGACGCUGAUGGACGAAAGCGUGGGGAGCGAAC